rnacentral:snRNA from 1 species
AAAAAAAAAAAAAAUGAA